ensembl:lncRNA
UAAUAGAUCCUCUAAGGCAAGAGUUUAUGAAAUAUUGUUCUGUUUGUGCAUCUUCCUCUCUUUAGACUUUGGAACAAGCCUACGACAGCGGCUACAAAGACACCGUUCAAUUUCUUGUGUCCAAUGGUGGGUCAGCUGCCUCUAUACAUAAAAACGUUCUUCUUAUGCCUCAAUCUGUCUGUGCCUCACGUCUUCCCCUUGUUUGCAGAUAUUAUCCCAUACAUGAUGAUGCACAGUGUAUCCGAUGACUGUGACCAAUCCAAGACACGGAUGCGUGUGGAGACUGACUUUAAUAAAGAGAAGCAGAUGAAAGCAGAAAAGGAGGCCGCAACACUGACGACUUUAACAGCCUGCAGAAGCUCUGCUGAGCAGGUAUCGACUGGAAAUCAACAAACUGAAGAACCUCUUCCCCACUUUGAGGUGGUAAAGAAUGUUCUGCUGGACACCGGGUUAACCUAUCUGGGCAUGUUUGGACUCUCUGUGAAACUGCUAUCCUUGCUGCUCUUGCCUCUCACCCUGUCGUUCUACACUGCACUCCAGUGCAGGCAUAGAGUGGAGUUGCUGUUCAGCCAGGUGCCAGAGUUGAUGUUCUGGGCGUGGCAUGCCAUGAGACACUUUACAUUCUUCUUCUACAGCAUAUUCAUCUGUAGCCUCAAGAAGAACAUAAAUGACCGGAUUAUGCCCUUCAUGAUGCUGUUGGAAUGGAUGAACAUUCAAGAACAAUGUGAGGCUCCAAAAGGACAGAGGAAUGUUACAGCUGUCCAUCAGACUCCCUCUUCUGACCGUUCAAAAAAUGUCAGGCAUCGGAGUCAAUACAGACAGUUUGUCACUGCAUCACAGGAUUACAAGAAACCAGAAUUACAUUGUAUGUAGACAACAGAGUAUUUAUCUUUUUAGUUCACCAAGCAGAAAUGCUAAUGCUGUUUACUUGUGUAACUUGUGCAACAAAGGUUUUUGAUGGUUGAGAUUUCUAUUUGUUGUUUUUUUUCCCCCCACUUUAUUUAAUGUCAGCUGGUUAAAGUGUUACUAUUAUUUUGUGCUUUUGAUGGAUCAGUAGCGAGAGCAGUGGCGGUUCUAGACCAGUUUUAAUAGGGGGGCCAGGUUGGGGCUGGCUUUUUUGUUAGGGGGCGCAUACAACCCGGAAAAAAAGUUAAAUUCCUCAUUCAGACAAAACAAUGUUUACAAUUUCAGCAAUUUUGAUUGGGUAGUAAACUGCUGAGACACUUUAUUUCUGCCUUUCCCUUCAAAACAAAAUCAUUGCAAGAAAUCUGUCAUUGUGUUAUUGAUGCAGACUCCCUGUCAGGGGGGCCACAGGGGGGUCCAGACUCAGAGUUACGGGGGCACUGGCCCUUGUUGGCCCCCCCCCCCCCGCCAGAACCUCCCCUGAGCGAGAGGCCCAGUUGUAGCAGAAGCCAUUCUGUGUGGUGGAAUAUGGAACUUAUCCUACAUUUCUAUAUGACAGAAACAUUCCAUGAGGAUAAGCAGUCUGUUCUGAAGUUGGUAUAGGGUGAAAAUGCAUGGGCUGGUCAAAAGAAUCUCUUCAUGAUGUAGGCAUGACUGUACAGAUAUUGUGUGGUCAUGAGAUAUGCUCGUGGCAAUGCUGUAAAGAUAUGCUGUGCAAAACUUUAGGCAAUAGGGUUGAAUGGGGCUGAAAUGAAAGUUUCUUUCUCUGAAAACCAAUUGUUACUAAACAUCAAAUCAAAUCAAUUCAAAUGUAUUUAUAUAGCCUUUAUAUACAUCCUUUGCAGCGGUAUAAUGGCUGAUUUAACAAAGUUCAAAAGUACAAUUUGACAAUUUUUUAAAUUCUUUAUUUUGGUCUAAUGCACUAAUGCAAUGUUGUCAGGCAACAUUACUGAGUCUCCGAAAGUCUAAUGUGAUAUCCAGCUUACAGUAAACACUAACUAGUGGUUCAGCAGCUGACUUGUGUGAAAAAUCAAAUCCCAUCAUUAAUUUGUCACGCAAACUUUUUGUGAAACGUUCAAGGCAAAAAAUACUUAGAGUAGCCUCAGGGUGUUCAUGUAAUGUCUUACUCAUUUCAUUUAUGCAGUAGAGGUGUCAACAUGUCCUGUGAUGUACCAUUUUAACACUGCGCUCUUUCAUUCUUUGUCCCCUUGAGUGUAAACAUUUACUACCUUCCUACUACUGCUGUUCAUUGAUGUGAUGUGUCAUUGGUCUCUAGCAUGCCCUAAUUCCUUUUCCAAAGUGACUACAGAAAAUUCUGGGAACUCUGACAAAUGUUGGCCAAUGUGACGCAAGAAUCCAUUCUUUUUGCCACUGUCAUUUUGUAACACUGUUCUCCUGUACUCUGAGGAUGAAUAAAUG